rnacentral:lncRNA from 1 species
CCCCUGAUGUCACCGAGGGUCGUGCCAUGGCCUCCCGCCAAGCAGGCAUCGGACAGAACACACGACCGCCAGAUUCCUUUAACGGAAUACCCAAAAAUUGAAGGCAUAGGCGAUGGCCACACCUAGCCCUUCGACACACCACAACACAUUAUUCCAAUGCCUAACCGCCACCCGAGCCAAUAAGGCUCGCCGCCAAUACCCUCACGGCUGUAACCAAUCCCUAAUGCCGCUGAUGACACUAUCUAGCCAAAUGUUGUUCCCCUGGUCAGAGGGAAGCACCCUGUCAUUCCGGUAUAAGGCCCGGUCGCCGAUCCGGAUUUGGUCAUGAAUAAUGACUCGGCCAUCCAUGAAGCGCACCCAACGGGCCACUGCCCGAUUUACGAGUUUCCUGGUUUUUUCAAUGGCCAUACAGCUCAGCGCACCACGCCAAAAAAUUCUCUUCAGGAAGGAGGACCAGAACACCGUUGUUCUGGGGCACAAGGCAGCAAACGCAUCCAAGUCUCUUUUUAUAUUCCACAACAAGUCCGCACUCCUUCUGUAAGCAAGGUAAUUUUCCCCUAAUUGAAUGACAAGGAUGCCGGGAGGGCCGAACGUGGCGACUUUUUCCCACAGCAAUGGCAUAAGCUCUUCCCAGUGCAUGCCUGUUCUCGAGAACCAGGAAACUCGAACACCGUGUGGCAGACCAAGAUUAGGUGCAAGGCCGCAGCUGACUGCCCAUACGCGGGCCCAAUGGACUAUACUGUGGCCGCAAAUCCACACGCUUCUCCUGAUCACAGCUGAGGAUAAAAGGACAGAAAAGGAGGUAAGUAGGGGUAAUAUAGCAGAGCGCAUUCUAGCGAAUAUAACUUUUAUAAGCAUUGGAUUUCCGUUUUGGAUUGAUGUAUCCACACCGUCGUGCUAGCUUCGGACAACUGCAAGUCCUCCGUGAGGAGGCCGCGCGUUGACCUAGUUGCAUUAACCUCGGCUAGUACUUCACCGACCCUCAAGGCGCCAAAAGGUGAUCGCAUAUGCAGCGGGGGGAAAAAAGGCAGGCCUCAAACUUGGUCCAGCAGAUUGACCUAAACUUUGUGCAUAUCUGAGAGAGCAGCCCGUAAGGAAUUGGCUUAGCAUAUGCUGCGGCUUAUGGCCCUCGGCUCUAUGGGGUUACAGCUUACCCCAACCUUCAAUAGCUCUGCGGAUCAGGAAGUCACUGCACGGGUCGGAGGAAAACAUGGCUUUACAAAGAAGCUGAUGGCGGCUACGUGUAUCUUUAACGUUUUGGGGGCCCGGCCUAAAGGAGGCUAUAACGUAUGCCGCAGAGAACACCCGGGCCUCGAACUUGGACCAGCAAAUUGACCUAAGUUUCAUAUGGAUUUGGGACAGCAGCUUGUAAGAAAUAGGCUUGCGGCCUUUGUUACUUGGAGGCUGCAGUCACCUGCAACCUUCAAUUGCCCUGCGGACCAUAAAGUCACAGCACGAAUCGGUGGAAAAACAUGGGUCUACUAAAGAAUGUGAUAGCGGCUAUGUGUAUCCUCAAAGUUUUCGAGGCUCAACCUAGGCCAUGAAGGUGUGUUAAGUAUUGCAGAACGUUUUCUGUGGAGGGUGUAACAUUGGUGGAAAGGGAAGAUACUUUGGACCUGAACCCCAUGAAAUCACACCAGACCUUCUUAUAUGAUCUAAGCGUAGAGGGUGCGACAGAUGCUAAUACUCCCUUAAUCACUUCAUGUCUCCAAGGUUCCACAGGUGCUCCGGAAUGGGUUCUGGCAGUGGCUGAGCCCUGGGAGCUAAUGCUCGGAAGCGAGGCACUGGAGGACGAAUGAUUGGAGUAGGCGCGACACCCUCUCGGAACGCGAUGACUGUUUAGCCAGUAAGUUGACCACUGCCUGGUUAUCAGUUCUGAAGCACACCCGGCGAUUCUGGAACUCCUCAGUCCAAAUGUGAACAGCCACAACUAAGGGGGGAAAAAACUCCAGAAAAGUGAGAUCCCACGUGAUAGCCUCGCCUUGCUCCUCUGCUGGCCAUUGUUGAGCACACCAGCGUCCCCUAAAGAAUAAACUGAAGCCCAAGGACCCAGCGGCAUCAGUGAACCUGGAAAUCUGAGGACAGGUUGAGGAUUUCCUGCCAUAAGGAGACUCCAUUGUAGCGUUCCAGAAACGUGAUCCAGAUCUCAAGGUCUGUCUUAACCGAUUUUGGGAGUCUUACCCUGUGGUGCGGUUUGUUUGUUUGUUUUUGUUAUUUUAUUUUAUUUUUAAGGUUAGGUAUGCACAUAGGCCCCAAGACUCAUUUUGUAUCAUGACUUUUAAACUUCUGAUUUGUUUCUGAGUCACUUGGUGCUCUCUGUGCUGAAUCUGAAGGGGGCUGGCACACAGACUAACUGAAUGUGGAUGUUCAUUAUGCACUGUAUCAUAGUAUAGUACAGUGAUUAUAAAAUUAUCUGCCUGAGUAUACGUUUUCAUCAUGUGUAAAACUCUUAAGGAAUAAACAAAUAGUUCUAUAUUGUGAUCAAGUAACUCCUAGAACAAAACUGUAAGUUUUAGCUUCAGAAAACCAGUUGCUUCUAGCCAACAUCCUGUUGCCCAUGUAGCUAAAUUUUUUGCACUUUUGAUUGUUAGUUGAUAACACGAUUGUUAGUAUGACAAGAGAUUGGUGGGAUGCUCUCCUACAGAUUUCCAAAACUGUUGUACUACAGACACAGCCAGGACAUUCCAGACACAGCCAGGACAUUCCAGAACACUUCUAUCUGGUACUGUAAAUGUCAGGUUUCAGUUUCACUCUAGCUAGAAAGAACUGCUACAUAUGCAACAUGUUCUAGAAGAUUGCCAAAGGUGAGCUCUUGGCAAAAGCGUUAUCCACUUCAGUGAAAU